rnacentral:lncRNA from 1 species
GCCAGUAAUUAUUUGUAAGUACCUGCUUGUUUUAUUAAGCACUGGUCAGUUAUAUAAAAGAAUAAUUUGCAAGAAUGAUACUUGGCAAUGGGUUACCUUAAUGCUUCUGGAAUAAACAGAAGCAUUAACAAAACACCAGAUCUUAAGCUCUUUUAAAUCUGUAAUUCGAAUUACCCAAAGGAUUUUUAAAUGUUACUUUUCCAUUGAAGGACUGUAGGGAGUCUAAUCCCAGCUAACAUGGUUGAUUUUAAAAAACAAAUAAAUCCCUAAGCCACAUAGUAAUGGAAUACUACACUUGCUUUUUAUAUCAUAUGGAAACAGCUCCAGGCAGAGCACAAGUAGAAGAAAACCUGCCAAAUCAAAGUACUGUAAAUAAAGUUCCUCUACGUACUCCAGUUGACAAAACCUCAAAAAUAAAAAUCAGAAGACCACCCAUUGUUACCCUCCCCCCCGCAACAAAACCCACCCAAAACACUUUAGUUCUGAACCUAACAUUUCCCUAAGAAGUUCACAGGAGAAGCUUUAAGGUACUUAAAGCUGCAGCAGUACAGUUGAAAGCGCCACAUUACAGAGGAAAUGCCCUAAAGGGUUCAGCAGCUGCCCACCCAUCCCGAACC